rnacentral:rRNA from 1 species
UGAGCAAUCUGCCCUUCUCUUCGGAAUAAGCGUUGGAAACGACGUCUAAUGCCGAAUACGACCUCCUUUCGCAUGAUCGGAGGUGGAAAGCUCCGGCGGAGAAGGAUGAGCUCGCGGCCUAUCAGCUAGUUGGUGUGGGUAAUGGCCCACCAAGGCGACGACGGGUAGCCGGCCUGAGAGGGUGACCGGCCACACUGGGACUGAGACACGGCCCAGACCUCCGUACGGGAGNAGCG